AACGAACGCUGGCGGCAGGCUUAACACAUGCAAGUCGAACGCAUCCUUCGGGGUGAGUGGCAGACGGGUGAGUAACACGUGGGAACGUACCUUUCGGUUCGGGAUAACCCAGGGAAACUUGGGCUAAUACCGGAUACGUCCUUUGGGAGAAAGAUUCAUUGCCGAAAGAUCGGCCCGCGUCUGAUUAGCUAGUUGGUGAGGUAAUGGCUCACCAAGGCGACGAUCAGUAGCUGGUCGAGAGGAUGAUCAGCCACACUGGGACUGAGACACGGCCCAGACUCCCUACGGGAGGCAGCAGUGGGGAAUAUUGGACAAUGGGCGCAAGCCUGAUCCAGCCAUGCCGCGUGAGUGAUGAAGGCCCUAGGGUUGUAAAAGCUCUUUCGGCGGGGACGAUAAUGACGGUACCCGCAGAAGAAGCCCCGGCUAACUUCGUGCCAGCAGCCGCCGU
rnacentral:rRNA from 1 species